rnacentral:lncRNA from 1 species
GAUAACCAACACCUGAUUUGAUGUUGGUUUGGGGCAUCCAAAAUGGGUAUAGGAGUGGGUGCAAAGUGGAUGUCAUAAGUGAUGGUAAUUUUAUCUUAUAUAGAAAUCCUUCUUUCAUGAGUAUUGGACUGAUUCAAAUCAGAUUUGAGUUAAGAGUCCUGCUCUCAUUAGGUCAUGAGAAUCAUCUAUAUUAUAGAGGAUCUCUAUCUAUGGAUGGAUAGAAAAUAAAUUAGAUUGAGAGAAGAG